rnacentral:rRNA from 1 species
AGAGUUUGAUCCUGGCUCAGGAUGAACGUUGGCGGUGUGCCUAAUACAUGCAAGUCGAACGGAGUUAAUAGCAAUAUUGGCUCAGUGGCGAACGGGUGAGUAACGCAUUGGUGAUCUGCCUUGAAGUGUGGAAUAACGUUUCGAAAGGAACGCUAAUACCGCAUGUGCUCUCGAUUUUCAGAAAGUUGAGAGUAAAGGAUUUAUUCGCUUCAAGAGGAGCCUGCGUCCCAUCAGCUGGUUGGUAGGGUAACGGCCUACCAAGGCUAUGACGGGUAGGGGACCUGAGAGGGUGGCCCCCCACAAUGGAACUGAAACACGGUCCAUACACCUACGGGUGGCAGCAGUAGGGAAUAUUAGAAAUGGACGAAAGUCUGAUCUAGCAACACCGCGUGUGCGAAGAAGGCCUUCGGGUCGUAAAGCACUUUUUGGAAGGAAUAGGAAGGAAUGUACUUCCAGAAUAAGUCUCGGCUAACUACGUGCCAGCAGCCGCGGUAACACGUAGGAGGCAAACGUUAUCCGGAUUUACUGGGCGUAAAGCGCGUGUAGGUGGUACUGUAAGUAGGGCGUGAAAGCUCCUGGCUCAACUGGGAGAGGCCGUUCUAAACUACAGAACUAGAGGAUGGUAGAGGGAGGUGGAAUUCCAGGUGUAGCGGUGGAAUGCGCAGAUAUCUUGGAGGAACACCGGUGGCGAAGGCGGCCUCCUGGACCAUUCCUGACACUCAGACGCGAAAGCUAGGGUAGCAAACGGGAUUAGAGACCCCGGUAGUCCUAGCCUUAACGAUGUAGACUAGGCGUCGGAA